AAUAUUUGUGAUCAAUCCUGCUAUUUAAGGACCCUUUGUAUUCCUUGUUUCUUUGUUCUGCAUUUUAUCUCUGUUUAAGAUUCCCACUGCAACCCUUCUCUUCAGGAAAAAUUAAAAUCUGCUCUUUCCUCUGUUUUCUUCUUCUUCUUCUUCUUUAAUUUCUACCUAAUUUCUCACCUUUCUUCUUUGAUUUCACUCUCCUCCUUUUAACAGGAAAAAGAAGAAGCUACCUCCUAUUCUCUUUCUCUUGAAUCCCAUUCUCUUUUCUUUUCUUUUAUUUGCCCAAAAAAGAAAAAAAAAAGCUGCUUUUACUUUGUGUUUUUGCUUCAGUUGAAGUUCCAGUAGCAGGAGCAGCAGCAGCUCAUAAACGGUGAUGAAUUGAGGUAAGUUUGGAGACAUGAAUCUCUUCAUUAUUCCGAAUAGUACUGCUUUUGUUUUGGCUAUAUAUUAAACUCAAUUCAAACAGUGUGUGUUGAUAAAAAUAUAAGGUGAAAAAGAGAUUGGUAUUCCCAACUCAUUCCUUUUUUGUUGGAUCAUUUUUUGUGUCUUACCAGUUUAAUCACAAUUUAGCUUUAAUAAAUAGAUAAAUAAUGUAUCAAAGCUUCAGUUGAGAUCCCUUCAACUAUCCAUUACAAAAUAAGAGUUAUAUGCAAAUAUGACUACGAGAUAGUAUGAAAUUAAAAAAGGGGAUAAUUGCAUAGAAGGCCCUUAUACUAAUAUUUAAAAAAAAAAGAGAUAUUUCUUCCUUAUACACUUCUUCUUCCUUUUCUCUCGCCGGGAAACUAGAAACUUAGUAAUUAUUAUAAUAAACAAAAUUAAAUGUACUAUGUUGACACCAUUUUUUUGAUGAAAACGGGGUCGACGUGGAUUUUGAAAAAAAAGAAUGAAAACGGGAGUCGCCACCAAUCCUUUUUUUGAUGAUGUGUGAUCGGGUCACCUCGAAAAGUGGUUGUUUUUAAUAAACGAUUUAAUUUUUAUUAAAACAACGAUUUUGGUCUACGAAAUUCAGAAAAAUGAGUUCGGGAGUCAGUUACGCACGAGGAAGGAUUAGCACCCUCGAUGCGCCCAAAAUUGGUACCUAGUUGAUUACUUAAUGUCUUGAUGUCGAAAAUUAAAACUCGAAAAGAAUUUAAAAAUACGAUCCCUCUUUAUGUUGUGUUAUUUUAAAAUUACUCGAAUAAAUCAAAAUGGAAAAUGCCUUCUUAUCUCGAAGUAACAAGAUGUCACAUCUAGUAAGUUAGGACACGACACCUCGUAUUUUUGAGAGUAAGCUUGCCUUUUAUUUUUUAUUUAAACCUCAUUUAUUUCAAUUUCAAAGGAUAUUCGAUUAUUUAGGAACAACGCGAGAAAAAUCGAAGCUCAGUAAGUUAGGGCACGAUUUUCUCGAAUUUUCUAAAUACGGAAUAUUGCUUUUAUUAUUGAAAGUUUAAAAGGGUAUUUGGCCAUUUGGUCGAACGAGGAAUCGAAACCCAGCACGUUAGGGCACGUUUUCUCAAACUUUCCAAACGCGAAAUAUUGCCUUAAUUUAAAACUUUACUCUUUUUGAAUAAUCGCGAGUACAAUACUCGAACGAGAUGCAUUUGUUUUAUUUAGGACAAAAUACAAUGAUUUAUUAUUGGAGUGUACAAAAUCGAGCGUAGCUUUGAAGUGAUGAAAUGAAAUUGAAUGAUAACGGAACAUGACAUAACAAUUUAUGAAUAAAAUGAGACAUCAAUGCAUGACAAAUAUACACGGAUACAAAUAAGCAAAUUAUAGUACGCACAACGACAAUGAACACACAAUAUAUCUAAUUUAAAUACCAACAUUACUAAUCAAAGGAAAAUAAAACAAAAUAAUAUAUAUAUAUAUAUAUAUAAAUAUAUAUACAACAAUCUAAAGUAAAUAGUAAUCCAAGAUGAAUGAUUUAUAAGAACAAUAAAUAAUAAAAGGUUCGAAUAAACAAUAUACAAGAAAACUUAAAAUAAAUGAAUAUAAAAAUUUUAAAAUAAAUAAUAUUAUAUAUAAAAAGUAUAAACAACUUUGAAGAAAAUGUACAUACAUACGAAAAUUUAAAAGAAAAGAAAAGAUAUAUAUAAUAGUUUACAAUAAAUAAUAAAUAAAAACUUAAACAAACAAAGAUAAAAGAGUUUUUUUUUUAUAUAACAAUAAUAAACAAAUAAAUUGAAUGGACCCAGGUCCAAAUUGAAAUUAAAACGAAAUUAAAUGACAUAAUUAAAAAUAAAAAAAAGACAGUCGGGGCCUGAUCUAAACGCGCGCAGAGAUACAGGGUCAAAAGGGAAAUAUUCCCAUGCCAUCUGAAACGGCACCGUUUCAGGGUACAUCUGCGCAUGGUCUAUGGACCAAAUUGAAGCGUAAGCAAAACUUAAGGCUGAAAUUGAAAACUAAAAGAAACUACAUUGAAUGCGCCUAAAAGAUGAAGGGACUUUUUCGGAAAUAUCCCUUUAGGGAAAACGCGCGGAUCCCCCCUGACGGGUCGGGUCGCGCACACGGAUGGCCCUAUACGGCGCCGUUUUGGAGCCACUGAAACAGGCCCUAAACGACGCCGUUUUGCAUCACUUAUAAAAAACAAAUUUUUUUGUUUUGAAACCCAUUCUGCCAUUCAAAAGAAAAAAAUAAAAAAACUCUCUCAUAUACUCUCAACUCCUCCUUUUUUAAACGCCGGUCAUGGGAUUCCGGCCGAUUGCCGCCGUGUAGCACCACCGUGCACGGUGGCCGGCAUAGCACAAAGGAGGCGUUUCGGUCUCACUUCGAAGCACCCACGAAGGUCAAACACCCUUCGCCCGAAAGCCAAUAAAAAGGACUCCCAAACCCACCUUUCAAGGCCGAUUCCGACGACGGAGAGAUCUCCGACGACGCGGCCGACGGUGUUUCAGGUGGUGUCAGACGCGCGUGGGUGGGGUGCUGGCGUGCGGCAGUGCGAGGGCGUGGCAGACGAGGGGGCAACGCAUGGAAGCUUGCGGCGGCUAACUUGGGGAAGCAAACUAGGGUUUGCUGAAAAUGGGGUUAAUCUUGGGCUAGGGUUAUGUUUGUUUUGGGUUUAGGGUUAAUUUUGGGUAGUUUGGGCCAUAUGAAAUUUGGGCUGCAAUUUAGACUUUAUUUCAUGUAUUUGGUUUAUGUUUUAUUUUUAUUUUGUUUUUGUUUUGGCACUGGGCCCGGGCAAAAUGGGCUCGUACAUACUAUAUUACUGAGAGAACAUCUAACAUCAUUGGAGGGAAAGAACAAGAAAAGAAAAAAUAAACAUAACAAAAAUAAAAUAAAAUAUUCUGCUGAA